rnacentral:lncRNA from 1 species
AGGAAAGGCGAGGCUCUGCAUCUAGAUUUACCUCGUUCUCUUUUGUCUCCGCUUUUUUUUCACAUUUCCUUGCGACCCUGGCCCUUGAGCGACAAAAAGGGGAAGCCAAGGCUGGCCCGAGGAACGGAGAGGGCACAUGGCCUAGCCACAAGUGGAGCUUCUGCUCCGCCCGAAGGGAUGCGCUGGAGCGGCCUCUUCCUUCUGCCACGGUCUUUCUUUGCCAACUAGUAGAUUUGGACAUUUACAGUGUUCAGCCGUUGUUGUGGCAUUCCAAUUCAAUUGGGAAACAGCUUGAUGUAGCGUCCCCAUAAGGUCCACAGUAAUUAAAUUUUUUUUUUUUUUUUUUGGUGCGGUAGUGCAAUUUCAUGGCUCACUGCAACCUCCACCUCCCAGGUUCAAGCGAUCCUCCCAUCUCAGCCUCCCUAGUAGCUGGGAUUACAGGUGCACGCCACCACACCAGGCUAAUUUUUGUAUUUUUAGUAGAGAUGGGGUUUCACCAGGUUAGCCAGGCUGGUCUUGAACUCCAGACCUCAAGGGAUCCGCCUGCCUCAGCUUUCCAAAGUGCUGGGAUUACAGGUGGAGACUGGACCUCAGAAGAGGGAGUGGGUGCCCCGAGAACUCACAGCUAGCGGACAGUGGAAAGGGCAGGAGCCGGACCAAGGUGAGGACAGUGGAACUGAAGGCCGCUGGUUACCUCUCCUGCCCUCCGCUGGCCACAGUGGAGAAGACAGCCCCUCCCUCCUGCUCUGACCUGACAGUGUUCAUCCAUCGCCCUGUAUUAGCGAAGAACAACAUCAAGCUGGCUAGCAAGGAACUGUAUACAGGGUCCAGCUGGGUAUCACACUGGAUCUCACCCAAAGCUUAGAUGUGAUCCAGCUCAGUAUCACAAAGCAGAACGAAAAGGAUGUGUUUGGGCUGAGAGG